AACUGAUCAAGCCUAUUGCCAAUUCUUAUGUUUUGUACAAUAAGAGAUGAGGUGUAAAGGUGUUUCGUGUUCAACAGAGGUACGGCUUAAUUAUUAUUGAGUGAGUGCUCAGAGAAGGUGUAAAGCCUGUGUGGUUGUGCUAGCCUGUUGAACCGUGACACUGAAGAGUCUAGUUGUUUGAGAGUACAACUUAAAGCUGGUGGUAAAUUUCAUCAAAGGCUAAAUAUAUGAGGGGACUAAUAGCGAACAAGUACCAUGAGGGAAAGUUGAAAAGAACUCUGACGAGAGAGUUCAACAGUACGUGAAACCAUAUUGAGUAAAACAGAUAACUGUGCUGUUAUGUGGUGUGCCUAUCAACAGUAUACUUGGUGUUGUGAUGCCUUGAGUGUAGGUUGUCUAUUCAACUGAUUGCUCUUGGUUAGCAUAGCCAGAGAUUCUGUGCACUAGUGCACACUCAGUCAUUGAGAAACUAUGCUGCUGCGGCAUCGGUGUGCAAUAGUCCGUACUUAGUGCGCAGUUGCAUGCUGGGCGCUAGCGAGCUGGCGUAGUUUAGCUGUGCGACAGCUGAGGGCUGCGUUUAUGAUCGGUAGCUGCUGUAUCUGCGAAUCGGUUGAUUCCUUUUUGCGGUGAGUGUGCUAUCAUCAGUAAGUAGCCCGCCAUCAAUGGUUAGCAUUAGUUAUUUGACCCGUCUUGAAACACGGACCAAGGAGUUCAAAUGGCACGCGAGUCAUUGGGUUUUGACACCCGAAGGCGAAGUGAAAUGCAAACGUAUUGUUAUUUGUGGUUGUUCCAUGAUUAAGCGAUAAGCUACUCGUGCUUUCUGGCACUUGUAGACUACAAGCGUGAUGUUUGAGACCGAGAAAAGGGG
rnacentral:rRNA from 2 species